AAGUCGUAACAAGGUUUCCGUAGGUGAACCUGCGGAAGGAUCAUUAACACGUAUCCAACGUAUCCACCCCCCGUGAACUGUUUUCUUCUCCCCUGUCUUCGGCACAGUGCGGAGGUGCGCGAGAUCUUGUCUGGACUGCGACGCGCAAGCGGAGCGGUGAGCUCGCGGACCCACUUGCAAGGCGAAAGCCGAGCAGACUGCACGCCCCCGUCGACAGGUUUCGCCCGCUCAGCUCCCAACAAAGCCGGGUGAGCGAUACUCUAUUUACCAUAUUCACCCUUUUUUGCUAGUUGGCCUUAUUUAUGUUCUUCAUCAUGCGCAAGCAUGUGUUGACACGUUUAUUAAUUGAAUGUUAAAUAUACAACUCUUAGCAAUGGAUAUCUUGGUUCUC
rnacentral:misc_RNA from 1 species